UACGAGGGGGGCGAGCGUUGUUCGGAAUCACUGGGCGUAAAGAGUGCGUAGGCGGUUAUGAAAGUUAGGAGUGAAAGCCCUGGGCUCAACCCAGGAAUUGCUCUUAAUACUACAUGACUCGAAUUCGGGAGAGGAUAGCGGAAUUCUCAGUGUAGCAGUGAAAUGCGUAGAUAUUGAGAGGAACACCGGUGGCGUAAGCGGCUAUCUGGACCGACAUUGACGCUGAGGCACGAAAGCGUGGGGAUCAAACAGG
rnacentral:rRNA from 2 species